AUUCUUACGAUGCAGAGAGAAAUUAUCAAAAGGAAACAAAAGUAUAUCAAAAAGGAGAAAAAAGACAUUAAAAAGAGCAUAAAGAAGCAGACCGGGGGCGCGCAAAAGGAGCAAAGCCAGAGACCUUGGCGUGGAGGCGAAUGCACGCAUAGGCAGCCAGCCGGACAUAUAAUAGUUCUCUCUACAAAUCCUAGAUAGGUUUAACUUAGAUUUUACUCUUUUCUCGAGAAGAAAUUGUGCUAUUUUUUAUUCUACACUUUUGGAUUUGGGUGGAUUCUCCCUACCUCAACUUAGAUUCUACAAUAGAGAAGUUUUCCUUCAUUUAUCUUGCUUUGAUUUAUGUUAUGUUGCUAUUAAAUGUGUUUUAUUUAUGUGAUUAUGCUUUACAAUUCUGAGUAGUAAAUUUAGGGGUUUACCAGAAGGCGACACAAGACAGCCAAAGCCUCACCGAUGCAACGACCGUGCUGAGGAUGUCAUCCAAGCAUGUUUUGAAGGGAACCCGUUCAAAACAGUUCCUGGUCCUUUCAAGUUGUUCUGGCAGUGUAUGCGUUCUAAGCCUGGGGAAGAGCCCACGGAGCCAUUCACUUAUCUGCAGUUAGAUCCACCGAAGAGGGAAGUAAAACUUGAGUGAAGCGUCUUCUAAACUCAAGUCAUUCACUUAUCUGCAGUUAGAUCCACCGAAGAGGGAAGUAAAACUUGAGUGAAGCGUCUUCUAAACUCAAGUCGAUAUUAGAGUCUUUUCCUUCCUGUGCCCCAAUCCUUGUCUAUGACAAGGUUUCUGUACCAAAAAUACUGAAUACACUAUUGUCUUGUUUCUAUUAUCAGUAAAAUGUCAUUUUCACAAUUUUGAGCAAUAAAGAUUCCCAGUAUCAAGAA